CCUACGGGAGGCUGCAGUGGGGGAUAUUGCACAAUGGGGGAAACCCUGAUGCAGCGACGCCGCGUGGGCGAAGAAGUAUUUCGGUAUGGUAAGCCCUAUCAGCAGGGAAGAAGAAAUGACGGUACCUGAGUAAGAAGCACCGGCUAAAUACGUGACAGCAGCCGCGGUAAUACGUAUGGUGCAAGCGUUAUCCGGAUUUACUGGGUGUAAAGGGAGCGCAGGCGGCACGGCAAGCCUGAUGUGAAAGCCCGGGGCCCAACCGCGGGACUGCAUUGGGAACUACCGGGCUGGAGUGCCGGAGAGGUAGGCGGAAUGCCUAGUGUAGCGGUGAAAUGCGUAGAUAUUAGGAGGAACACCAGUGGCGAAGGCGGCCUACUGGACGGUGACUGACGCUGAGGCUCGAAAGCGUGGGGAGCAAACAGGAUUAGAUACCCUUGUAGUC
rnacentral:rRNA from 1 species